AGUGGCGAACGGGUGAGUAACGCGUGAAUAACCUGCCUUUCAGUGGGGGUCAACAGUUGGAAACGGCUGCUAAUACCGCAUGAUGUUUCCGGGAGGCAUCUUCUGGAAACCAAAGCUUUAUGUGCUGAAAGAUGGAUUCGCGUCUGAUUAGCUAGUUGGUGAGGUAACGGCCCACCAAGGCGACGAUCAGUAGCCGGUCUGAGAGGAUGAACGGCCACAUUGGGACUGAGAUACGGCCCAGACUCCUACGGGAGGCAGCAGUGGGGAAUAUUGGGCAAUGGGCGCAAGCCUGACCCAGCAACGCCGCGUGAAGGAAGAAGGCUUUCGGGUUGUAAACUUCUUUUACCAGGGACGAAGGACGUGACGGUACCUCUAGAAUAAGCCACGGCUAACUACGUGCCAGCAGCCGCGGUAAUACGUAGGUGGCAAGCGUUGUCCGGAUUUACUGGGUGUAAAGGGCGUGCAGCCGGGUCUGCAAGUCAGAUGUGAAAUCCAUGGGCUCAACCCAUGAACUGCAUUUGAAACUGUAGAUCUUGAGUGUCGGAGGGGCAAUCGGAAUUCCUAGUGUAGCGGUGAAAUGCGUAGAUAUUAGGAGGAACACCAGUGGCGAAGGCGGAUUGCUGGACGGUAACUGACGCUGAGGCUCGAAAGCGUGGGGAGCAAACAGGAUUAGAUACCCUGGUAGUCCACGCCGUAAACGAUGAGUGCUAGGUGUUAGGCCCUUUCCGGGGUUUAGUGCCGCAGCUAACGCAUUAUAGCACUCCGCCUGGGGAGUACGACCGCAAGGUUGAAAACUCAAAGGAAUUGACGGGGGCCCGCACAAGCGGUGGGGCAUGUGGUUUAAUUCGAAGCAACGCGAAGAACCUUACCAGGUCUUGACAUCCCGAUGCUAUUCCUAGAGAUAGGAAUUUUCUUCGGAACAUCGGUGACAGGUGGUGCAUGGUUGUCGUCAGCUCGUGUCGUGAGAUGUCGGGUUAAGUCCCGCAACGAGCGCAACCCCUAUUGUUAGUUGCCAUCAUUAAGUUGGGCACUCUAGCGAGACUGCCGGUAAUAAACCGGAGGAAGGUGGGGAUGACGUCAAAUCAUCAUGCCCCUUAUGACCUGGGCUACACACGUGCUACAAUGGUUGGUACAACGAGUCGCGAGUCGGUGACGGCAAGCAAAUCUCUUAAAGCCAAUCUCAGUUCGGAUUGUAGGCUGCAACUCGCCUACAUGAAGUCGGAAUCGCUAGUAAUCGCGGAUCAGCACGCCGCGGUGAAUACGUUCCCGGGCCUUGCACACAGCGCCCGUCA
rnacentral:rRNA from 1 species